UGAGUACAGUAGAAUUUUGUGAGCAGGAUAGUAGACAGCCCUUUCAUCCUGGUUCAACCUUUUGAAGACAAAGCUCUAAUCAGCUUCCUGUGGGGCAUUUUAUAACCAAGCAAUUAAAUGGCAAGAGGGUCAGGUCUUUGCAAAGGCAAACCAAAUCUCAACAUCCUGAAAAGUUCACUAACUUCUGGAAAAUGAAUCCCUCAAGACUACAGUGCUGAUAACAAUGACCUCUACUCCACAGCUGAGCUGCAAUGAUGACAGGAAAUUUUGGCAGGGCAAGAAAUUAUAUUAUCCUGGUAUCUGCUUUAUUUCUUUGCUUGUGAUAAUCACACUGGAAGUAGGGGCUCCCGCUGAGCUGCCAUAUGGCCCAGUUGUAAAGGCUAGCAAAGCAAGCUAUCUUUUUUUCACAUAUGUACAUUGUCUCAAAUAUUUAUACACUUUCAAUGAUAAACUAAACCAAAUUCAUGGUAUUUUUUCCAUAAAUUGGAAUGGGUAGCUUGGUCUUCUACACUUUUUUUCAGCCUUCUGAAUUUGUUUGAUUCCUAAUUCUAUUGAUUCUUGUACAUUGAUCCCUGGGGCUGACUUUAUUCAUUGUGGCGAUUUAAUACCCAGAGCAAAUCACUUCAGAAUGUGAAAAAA